rnacentral:rRNA from 1 species
UACGUAGGGGGCUAGCGUUAUCCGGAAUUACUGGGCGUAAAGGGUGCGUAGGUGGUUUCUUAAGUCAGAGGUGAAAGGCUACGGCUCAACCGUAGUAAGCCUUUGAAACUGGGAAACUUGAGUGCAGGAGAGGAGAGUGGAGUUCCUAGUGUAGCGGUGAAAUGCGUAGAUAUUAGGAGGAACACCAGUUGCGAAGGCGGCUCUCUGGACUGUAACUGACACUGAGGCACGAAAGCGUGGGGAGCAAACAGG